rnacentral:rRNA from 1 species
CAAACCGGAGGAAGGUGGGGAUGACGUCAAGUCCUCAUGGCCCUUAUGGGUAGGGCUUCACACGUCAUACAAUGGUCGGUACAGAGGGUAGCCAAGCCGCGAGGUGGAGCCAAUCCCAGAAAGCCGAUCGUAGUCCGGAUUGCAGUCUGCAACUCGACUGCAUGAAGUCGGAAUCGCUAGUAAUCGCGGAUCAGCAUGCCGCGGUGAAUACGUUCCCGGGUCUUGUACACACCGCCCGUCACACCAUGGGAGUGGUUUCACCAAAAGUAGGUAGCCUAACCGCGAGGGGGGCGCUUACCACGGUGGGAUUCAUGACUGGGGUGAAGUCGUAACAAGGUA